ensembl:lncRNA
UUGUUUUCCUUGCCUUAAUGAACACGUUCUCUGGAUCUACCUCACAUUUGGUCCAUCACAUCAGAGGGGUGAUGUUAGAGUGUCUGGUUGGCUUCGGUGGAUCUAAGAUGAUGAAAUGAAGUCAUACAAGUUUGGACCAAAAUGAGGGUGAACUACCCCUUUUAAUGUGUCUGUGCAACACUGACCCAAAACCAAUUCCAUCAGUUUGUGGCAGACAGUGGGAGUGCUGUGAAGGAAAACCUGUCGGAAAACAGGGGCCAUCAGGCAGUGGGUAAACAGGAGGAGCUUAAAAAACUCACCUUCUCCCCUCCCCUCAAACUGCAUCUCGUGGAUGACACACAUGAAUUACGGCAUCAGCCGACAGUGUGUCGACAGCGACACCAGCGCAGCGUAUGUUUUUUACAGCCCUCGCAAGUGUGCAGCUGUUAGCCUCAGUGUAAACAGCAGACCCAAUUCACACCUUCAGUCAGACGUCUCCGAGCACCUCCUAUGCUAAUAAGAUUUAUUGAAAAUUUCAAACUGAG